rnacentral:lncRNA from 1 species
UCUCAAUAUAACCAACCGCUUUUGGCGAAUACUGAUUUUUCUUUUGGUAAUUAUAUUUUUCAUUAAUCACCAAAGAAGCCAUUAAAAAGCAGUAGAGUCAUCCCCGACUCACUUAGUCUUUACACAAUUCUAAUUCUAUCAUAUACUAUGAGCAGUACAUAAAGAAUUGCACAAAAAGCUGAAAGUUAUACGUUGCUUUCAUUAAAUAAGUUGCUGCAUCUUCUUCCUCAUCCCUCUUUGAACUCCAAUGUUGCAAACACAUGCUAUUUCUCUUGUAAUUAGCUCUGCUGUCCUCAUUGUCUUUUCAAAUAUUCUGCUAUUUCUCUCCCUCCAUAUCCCAUGGAUGUGUACUGAAAUUGAAUAAAUUUCUUUGAGACUUACUAAAACACAAUAAAU